rnacentral:rRNA from 1 species
AUUGAACGCUGGCGGCAUGCUUUACACAUGCAAGUCGAACGGUAACAGGCCGCAAGGUGCUGACGAGUGGCGAACGGGUGCGUAAUGCAUCGGAACGUGCCCAGUCGUGGGGGAUAACUACUCGCAAGAGUAGCUAAUACCGCAUACGAUCUAUGGAUGAAAGCGGGGGACCGUAAGGCCUCGCGCGAUUGGAGCGGCCGAUGUCAGAUUAGGUAGUUGGUGGGGUAAAGGCUCACCAAGCCAACGAUCUGUAGCUGGUCUGAGAGGACGACCAGCCACACUGGGACUGAGACACGGCCCAGACUCCUACGGGAGGCAGCAGUGGGGAAUUUUGGACAAUGGGCGCAAGCCUGAUCCAGCAAUGCCGCGUGCAGGAAGAAGGCCUUCGGGUUGUAAACUGCUUUUGUACGGAACGAAACGGCUCUGGUUAAUACCCGGGGCUAAUGACGGUACCGUAAGAAUAAGCACCGGCUAACUACGUG